GUCUACGGCCAUACCACCCUGAACGCGCCCGAUCUCGUCUGAUCUCGGAAGCUAAGCAGGGUCGGGCCUGGUUAGUACUUGGAUGGGAGAAAUGGCCAUGACUUGGAGAUGUCCACU
rnacentral:rRNA from 1 species